UACGAAGGGGGCGAGCGUUGUUCGGAAUUACUGGGCGUAAAGGGCGCGUAGGCGGCGACUCAAGUUAGAUGUGAAAGUCCUGGGCUUAACCUGGGAACUGCGUCUGAUACUGGAAGGCUUGAGUAUGGGAGAGGGAUGUAGAAUUCCAGGUGUAGCGGUGAAAUGCGUAGAUAUCUGGAGGAAUACCGGUGGCGAAGGCGGCAUCCUGGACCAUUACUGACGCUGAGGCGCGAAAGCUAGGGGAGCAAACGGG
rnacentral:rRNA from 1 species